rnacentral:rRNA from 1 species
GACGGAGGGUGCAAGCGUUGUUCGGAUUGACUGGGCGUAAAGGGCGUGUAGGCGGUUGGUCAAGUCUGAUGUGAAAGCCCUGGGCUCAACCUGGGAAUGGCAUUGAAUACUACUUGACUGGAGGUUUGGAGGGGGGACUGGAAUUCUUGGUGUAGCAGUGAAAUGCGUAGAUAUGCGGAGGAACACCGAUGGCGAAGGCAAUCCCCUGGGCCUGCACUGACGCUCAUGCACGAAAGCGUGGGGAGCAAACAGG